ACGCUGGCGGCAGGCCUAACACAUGCAAGUCGAGCGGAAACGAGAAGUAGCUUGCUACUUCGGCGUCGAGCGGCGGACGGGUGAGUAAUGCCUAGGAAGUUGCCCAGUAGAGGGGGAUAACCAUUGGAAACGAUGGCUAAUACCGCAUAAUCUCUUUGGAGCAAAGCAGGGGACCUUCGGGCCUUGUGCUAUUGGAUACGCCUAGGUGGGAUUAGCUAGUUGGUGAGGUAAUGGCUCACCAAGGCGACGAUCCCUAGCUGGUCUGAGAGGAUGAUCAGCCACACUGGAACUGAGACACGGUCCAGACUCCUACGGGAGGCAGCAGUGGGGAAUAUUGCACAAUGGGCGAAAGCCUGAUGCAGCCAUGCCGCGUGUAUGAAGAAGGCCUUCGGGUUGUAAAGUACUUUCAGUCGUGAGGAAGGGGGUAAGCUUAAUACGCUUAUCUCUUGACGUUAGCGACAGAAGAAGCACCGGCUAACUCCGUGCCAGCAGCCGCGGUAAUACGGAGGGUGCGAGCGUUAAUCGGAAUUACUGGGCGUAAAGCGCAUGCAGGUGGUUCAAUAAGUCAGAUGUGAAAGCCCGGGGCUCAACCUCGGAACUGCAUUUGAAACUGUUGGACUAGAGUACUGUAGAGGGGGGUAGAAUUUCAGGUGUAGCGGUGAAAUGCGUAGAGAUCUGAAGGAAUACCAGUGGCGAAGGCGGCCCCCUGGACA
rnacentral:rRNA from 3 species